rnacentral:lncRNA from 1 species
AGGCACCCCUGAGCAUGAAAUAUAAAUUUCCCCCUGAGGAUUUAUGCCUUAUGUUUCUAGAGGGACAUAGAGAAGACAGAUAACUUAAAUACUUGGGUUCUGGAUUGGGGUUAUGUCAAACAUGCCACCGAAGAUUCUUGCACACGUUAUGCUGGUGUACAUAUAUGGAAGUGUCUUAAAUUUUGCUGCUGCUGUCUCUUUGGAUUUGGGCCAUUUUUAAGAGGUGUAACACUCACUGUGAAGUUCUGUAGCUCCAUUCUUCAAGUUAGCGAGACCACGAACCUGCCGGAAGGAACCAACUCCGGACAUAGCAGAUCAAGAAGGCAGUCAGAAGCAAAAAAACUUUUUAUGGUUCACUGAGGACAAUCAACUCCUUCACAAUCUAGAACCCGAAGAUUGGAUCCUCUGAGACAUCAGAGAAAGAUUGCUUUAGCCAUCCUCACUGCAGUAAAACUUCAGGACCUCGAGCCUUGGGUUCAUAAUCUCACAACUGAGAAGGGUCCCUCCACACUGUUGAACUGUACACCCAUUGGAACCCUUAAGGUAAAGCUAACCAGGGAAGUUUCUCCCUAAGAAGAAGAUGGCAUCCUUGAUGCAAAAAGCUUUUCCCAACAUCACAGAUCAAGACUUCUAUUAUCAUGAGACUCUUAUCUUUGAAUACUUUUCCCCUUGCUUAUGCCUGUAUGAACAAUACAAGUGGAAAAGGGGUCUGUUGUG